rnacentral:rRNA from 1 species
ACGGGAGGCAGCAGCUAAGAAUAUUCCGCAAUGGGCGAAAGUCUGACGGAGCGACGCCGCGUGGAUGAUGAAGGUCGGAAGAUUGUAAAAUCCUUUUAUAACUGAGGAAUAAGCAGGGUGAGAGAAACGCCUUGUGGUGACUGUAGGUUAUGAAUAAGCAACGGCUAAUUACGUGCCAGCAGCCGCGGUAACACGUAAGUUGCGAGCGUUGUUCGGAAUUAUUGGGCGUAAAGGGCAUGUAGGCGGUUUUGCAAGCUUGAUGUGAAAGGCGGGAGCUCAACUCCCGAACUGCGUUGAGAACUGCAUAACUAGAGUGACUGAGGGGCAGGCAGAAUUCCAGGUGUAGGGGUGAAAUCUGUAGAUAUCUGGAAGAAUACCAAUGGCGAAGGCAGCCUGCCAGCAGAUGACUGACGCUGAGGUGCGAAGGUGCGGGGAGCAAACAGGAUUAGAUACCCUGGUA